rnacentral:rRNA from 1 species
AUUGAACGCUGGCGGCGUGCCUUACACAUGCAAGUCGAACGGUAACAGGUCUUCGGAUGCUGACGAGUGGCGAACGGGUGAGUAAUACAUCGGAACGUGCCUAGUAGUGGGGGAUAACUACUCGAAAGAGUGGCUAAUACCGCAUGAGAUCUACGGAUGAAAGCAGGGGAUCGCAAGACCUUGUGCUACUAGAGCGGCCGAUGGCAGAUUAGGUAGUUGGUGGGAUAAAAGCUUACCAAGCCGACGAUCUGUAGCUGGUCUGAGAGGACGAUCAGCCACACUGGGACUGAGACACGGCCCAGACUCCUACGGGUGGCAGCAGUGGGGAAUUUUGGACAAUGGGCGCAAGCCUGAUCCAGCAAUGCCGCGUGCAGGAUGAAGGCCUUCGGGUUGUAAACUGCUUUUGUACGGAACGAAAAGCCCUGGGUUAAUACCCUGGGGUCAUGACGGUACCGCAAGAAUAAGCACCGGCUAACUACGUGCCAGCCGCCGCCGUAACAC